rnacentral:rRNA from 1 species
UACGGAGGAUGCGAGCGUUAUCCGGAUUUAUUGGGCGUAAAGCGAGUGCAGGCGGUUCAAUAAGUCUGAUGUGAAAGCCUUCGGCUCAACCGGAGAAUUGCAUCAGAAACUGUUGAACUUGAGUGCAGAAGAGGAGAGUGGAACUCCAUGUGUAGCGGUGAAAUGCGUAGAUAUAUGGAAGAACACCAGUGGCGAAAGCGGCUCUCUGGUCUGUAACUGACGCUGAGGUUCGAAAGCGUGGGUAGCAAACAGG